AUUGAACGCUGGCGGCAGGCCUAACACAUGCAAGUCGAGCGGAUGAAGGGAGCUUGCUCCUGGCUUCCGCUGCGGACGGGUGGGUAAUUCCUAGGAAUCUGCCUGGUAGUGGGGGCUAACGUCCGGAAACGGGCGCUAAUCCCGCAUCCGUCCUGAUGGAGAACGUGAGGGAUCUUCGGACCUCACGCUAUCAGCUGAGCCUAGGUCGGAUUAGCUAGUUGGUUGGGUAAAGGCCUACCAAGGCGACGAUCCGUAACUGGCCUGAGAGGGUGAUCAGUCACACUGGAACUGAGACACGGUCCAGACUCCUACGGGAGGCAGCAGUGGGGAAUAUUGGACAAUGGGCGAAAGCCUGAUCGAGCAAUGCCGCGUGAGUGAAGAAGGUCUUCGGAUUGUAAAACACUGUAAGUAGGGAAGAAGAAAAGUAAGUUAAAACCUGGCUGUUUUGACGGUACCAAAAGAAUAAGCACCGGCUAACUACGUG
rnacentral:rRNA from 1 species